rnacentral:ncRNA from 2 species
ACAGAUGACGGGGAUGGAGUCCCCCCAAAAUGCUCGUAAUGAGCUGAUGACUCCUACCGCUAC